GUGGGGAAUUUUGCGCAAUGGGCGAAAGCCUGACGCAGCAACGCCGCGUGAGUGAUGAAGGCCUUUGGGUCGUAAAGCUCUGUCAGAGGGAACGAAGUGUCGGCGGCUAAUACCCGACCGAUUUGACGGUACCCUCAAAGGAAGCACCGGCUAACUCCGUGCCAGCAGCCGCGGUAAUACGGAGGGUGCAAGCGUUGUUCGGAUUUAUUGGGCGUAAAGGGCGUGUAGGCGGUCUGUUAAGUCUGAUGUGAAAGCCCCGGGCUCAACCUGGGAAGUGCAUUGGAAACUGGCAGACUUGAGUACGGGAGAGGGCAGUGGAAUUCCCAGUGUAGGAGUGAAAUCCGUAGAUAUUGGGAGGAACACCGGUGGCGAAGGCGGCUGCCUGGACCGAUACUGACGCUGAGACGCGAAAGCGUGGGGAGCAAACAGGAUUAGAUACCCCGGUAGUCC
rnacentral:rRNA from 1 species